AUUGAACGCUGGCGGCAGGCCUAACACAUGCAAGUCGAGCGGAGCGGAGGAAGGGUGAGUAAUGCCGAGGAAUCUGCCUGGUGGUAGGGGAUAACGUCGGGAAACGGGCGCUAAUAACGCAUGAGAUCAGAGGAGACUAGGGCGGAUUUGCUAGGUGGUGGGGGAAAGGCCUACCAAGGCGAAGAUCCGGACGUGGCCGAAGAGGAGGAUCAGCCACACUGGAAGUGAGACACGGUCCAGACUCCUACGGGAGGCAGCAGUGGGGAAUAUUGGACAAUGGGCGAAAGCCUGAUACAUCCAGGCCGCGUGUGGGAAGAAGGUCUUCGGAUUGGAAAGCCCUUUUAUUUGGGAGGCGUUACCAACAGAAUAAGCACCGGCUAACUUCGUGCCAGCAGCCGCGGUAAUAC
rnacentral:rRNA from 1 species